CUCUUUGUGAUGAUUUUAAACAGUUUGACUUUCGUUCUUCUGAAACUAAUGAAGCCAAACUUUCUGUUCUGAAAGGG